AUUGGAUGAGCCCGCGGCCUAUCAGCUUGUUGGUGAGGUAAUGGCUCACCAAGGCGUCGACGGGUAGCCGGCCUGAGAGGGUGACCGGCCACACUGGGACUGAGACACGGCCCAGACUCCUACGGGAGGCAGCAGUGGGGAAUAUUGCACAAUGGGCGCAAGCCUGAUGCAGCAACGCCGCGUGAGGGACGACGGCCUUCGGGUUGUAAACCUCCUUUAGCAGGGAAGAAGCGAAAGUGACGGUACCUGCAGAAAAAGCGCCGGCUAACUACGUGCCAGCAGCCGCGGCCGAAU
rnacentral:rRNA from 1 species